rnacentral:rRNA from 1 species
AUGCGUCCCACAAUGGUCAAACCAUAUCCAUACACAUCCCAGACAUUAGUCAAACCAUGGCCGUAUAUCACAUGUAUACAGGUCAGAUAUCCCUUGUACAACACCCAGAUAAUGGCCAUACGUCAACCAGACAGUGACGGCCUCGCCGUCGCUGCUCCCUCUCCAGUGCCUCGCGCACAACCUUCGCCAAGCGGCCGUGCUCUGCUUCACCACCGUGCCGAGCCGCGCGCGGCUGUCCGGCCCGCCUCCGAGCAGUCCCAGCACUCUGCCCCACUCCGGUCCCCUCCACUUCGGUUGUACCAUGUCCUCGCGCGCCUCCACGAACGGCUCCUCACCACCACCGGCGCAGUCGCGCCUGCACCGUCCCUGCGUGCCAGCAACCUGCUGCUGCGUCCGGCUCCGCCAUCUGGCCCGGUCCGUGCGCUCCGAGUCCUCCGCCAUACGGCCCGUCGCAUUCGCGGCCGACUCGCCAUCUCACUAGUCGCUGUGCCGUGGCCGUCUCGCCAUCGCCAUCAUCCGCCCUCGCAGCAGCGACCGCAGAGAGCACUCCCCUCGUGGGGUCGUCUCCGUCCUUGCCCGCGGGCUCCCGUGCCAGCCUCGCUCCUCCGUGCGCCGGCCCGCGACCGGGUGCUCCUCGCCGGUUUCCGCGUCCACCAUCGGCUCCGCCUCGCCGCUGCGCCCCGUGCCGGCUACCCAUGA